ACGGAGGGUGCAAGCGUUGUCCGGAUUUAUUGGGUUUAAAGGGUGCGUAGGCGGGUCUUUAAGUCCGUGGUGAAAGCCCAUCGCUCAACGAUGGAACUGCCAUGGAUACUGGAGACCUUGAAUUCAGUUGAGGUAGGCGGAAUUGAUGGUGUAGCGGUGAAAUGCAUAGAUACCAUCAGGAACACCGAUUGCGAAGGCAGCUUACUGGGCUUGAAUUGACGCUGAGGCACGAAAGCGUGGGGAGCGAACAGG
rnacentral:rRNA from 1 species